CCCAGAGCUGCCCACAGAGAGCUCGCUGCUGACCAGAUGGCCGCAGGUGAUGGAAACUGAGGUCAGGUACUACCAGAGCCACAGACAAGUGCAGCUCUCCAACCUCAUCAGAGAAUCUUCGCUGUGGAGCGGAUGGUAGUUAACACAGAAACUCCCAACUGGUCAAAGUGCAGAGACUACGUGCCUGUGGAGUGCUCCGCCAUAGAUGAAGCUGAGUCUUGACCCUCCCAACAGUGUUCAGAGGCAAUCAAGGAAAAGGAAGCCGAGGAUUGUAAGAGUCAGAGGUUGAAGAGGACCAAAGAGAAACGGUGACUUCAGGACACAAUACGACAGGGCUAAUAGACUCAGGAGCACACAGCAGCUGCAGUUGCCUGAAUCAGACCUGUGUAAGAUCAAGCCUCCACUCCCAGCUGAGGGACUGUUAACAGCCUCUGGGGAGGGGGAAUCAGUUUCCUCUGAGGGUAUGAGACCGCUGGUAGCUCAGUCCUGCUACAGCGGUUGAUCCUACGCCCAAGAGUAUGAGGGCAGCACAAACUGGAAUCCGUGGGCUAACAAAGGAAAACAGGACAGGAAUUUGAGAGGGAGUGGGGCUUGAGACAGGAGUGGAUCUGGGCGGAGUGGGUGGUGGCUAUGAACGAAUACAACACUUUGUGUUUUGUGUAAAAUUCUCAAUAUAAUAAAGCAUCGUAAUAAAAAUUAGUGCAAAAUGUG